CAAAGUAAAGCUAGGACUAGUACAGCGUCUCACUUACGUUGAGAAGUUUUAUUGUGCAAAUCAAUAUGCUUUGA
rnacentral:tRNA from 1 species